GUCGAGUCCGCCCGAUAUAAAUUAUAUCGUUAUCAUAUUGUAACGUUUAUAAUCGAAUAAUAAUUUAAAAAGCGUACAAUAUUUUCUCGAGGGGAAAAUGCGCGCGAAUAAAAUUAUUAUUAUAUCUUUCACUUUAUUAAUUUACGGCGGAAAAGGGGAAAUACUCGGGCGCAUUACCACUCGUUUAUCUCUCAUAUUUCUUCUCUUUAGCUCUCGCUGCACU